GCCCGAAUGGUGAAAUUGGUAGACACGCUAGCUUCAGGUGCUAGUGAGAGCAAUCUCGUAGGAGUUCAAGUCUCCUUUCGGGCA
rnacentral:tRNA from 1 species